GGGGUUGUAGCCUAGUGGUCGGAGCGUCGGAUUCACGACUUGAAGGUUGGGGGUUCGAUUCCCGAUCCCA
rfam:Macrostomum lignano uti_cns_0008700, whole genome shotgun sequence.